rnacentral:rRNA from 1 species
UACAGAGGUCCCAAGCGUUGUUCGGAUUCACUGGGCGUAAAGGGUGCGUAGGCGGUCGGGUAAGUCUGAUGUGAAAUCUCACAGCUUAACUGUGAAACUGCGUUGGAUACUACCCGGCUCGAGGAAUGGAGGGGAGACUGGAAUACUUGGUGUAGCAGUGAAAUGCGUAGAUAUCAAGUGGAACACCAGUGGCGAAGGCGAGUCUCUGGACAUUUCCUGACGCUGAGGCACGAAAGCCAGGGGAGCAAACGGG